AACGCACCUUGCGCUCCUUGGUAUUCCGAGGAGCAUGCCUGUUUGAGUGUCAUGAAAUCCCUCGACCGCAAAGUUUAUGCUUUGUUCGGUUGGAUUUGGAGGCUUUGCCGAUGAUUAUUAUUAUCGGCUCCUCUGGAAUGCAUUAGCCUGGCUCGUUUGUUGCUGCAAAUACGGCGUGAUAAUUUAAUAGUAUCCUCCGACCGCUUGUAGCACACGAUAGCUCACGCUUCAAACGUUAACGUCUUUUCACAAAGGUGUUACUUCAUGAAUUUGACCUCAAAUCAGGUAGGACUACCCGCUGAACUUAA
rnacentral:rRNA from 1 species